rnacentral:tRNA from 1 species
CAACAAAUAGCUUAAAUAAAGCAUAGCAUUGAAGAUGCUAGUAUAGCUCUCCCGCUUUUGUUGG